CAGAGUCACUGCUCUACUUUCUGAUAUAGUGGUUCCCAACCAUCGUUUUGAGUAAGAGGAACUCCAUUAAAUAUUUCACUGCAGAAAUUCCCAAUAGACUCAAAGCUUUUCAUCUUUAUUAGAUGAAUCCAUAGAAGAAGGGAUGGUAAUGACUGGCUCAGCUCUGUGCUAUCCAUUUGCCAAGCUGAAACUUGUUCUUUGAUUAUUAAAGGUGGUACCUUCCCUCCAGAGAGCCUUCUUCUAGACACACAGAAAAGGAAAAGAAAGACGGAAAAAAGAAAUGCAUUGGAUAAUGCCUGGGUCCGAAUGUCUUAAGGACUGGCAAUCAUGGAUGUUGUGGAAAUAUUAUCUUUGCCUCCAUGACUGAAGACACACACAAUGAUCAGGUAAGGAUGAGCCAAAAAGAAAUCUUAGAUAUUUUUUUAAA
rnacentral:lncRNA from 1 species